rnacentral:rRNA from 1 species
GACGAACGCUGGCGGCGUGCUUAACACAUGCAAGUCGAACGGGCCCGCCCCUGUUUUUGGGGGUGGGUUGAGUGGCGAACGGGUGAGUAUCACGUGAGUAACCUGCCCCCUGCUCCUGGAUAACUGCUUGAAAGGGCGGCUAAUACGGGGUGUGCCGGCUGGUCCGCAUGGGCCUGGUCGGGAUAGUUUCAUCUUCGGGUGUUUCGGUGGGGGAUGGGCUCGCGGCCUAUCAGCUUGUUGGUGGGGUGAUGGCCCACCAAGGCGGUGACGGGUAGCCGGCCUGAGAGGGUGGGCGGCCAGACUGGGACUGAGACACGGCCCAGACUCCUGCGGGAGGCAGCAGUGGGGGGUAUUGCACAAUGGGCGGAAGCCUGAUGCAGCGACGGCGCGUGAGGGAGGGAGGCCGUCGGGUUGUGAACCUCUUUCUCCGGUGGUGAAGGCCCUGUCCGUUGCGGCGGGGUUGACGGUAGCCGGGUAUGAAGCGCCGGCUAACUACGUG